rnacentral:rRNA from 1 species
GGCUUUCGGGUCGUAAAACUCUGUUGUUAGGGAAGAACAAGUGCUAGUUGAAUAAGCUGGCACCUUGACGGUACCUAACCAGAAAGCCACGGCUAACUACGUGCCAGCAGCCGCGGUAAUACGUAGGUGGCAAGCGUUAUCCGGAAUUAUUGGGCGUAAAGCGCGCGCAGGUGGUUUCUUAAGUCUGAUGUGAAAGCCCACGGCUCAACCGUGGAGGGUCAUUGGAAACUGGGAGACUUGAGUGCAGAAGAGGAAAGUGGAAUUCCAUGUGUAGCGGUGAAAUGCGUAGAGAUAUGGAGGAACACCAGUGGCGAAGGCGACUUUCUGGUCUGUAACUGACACUGAGGCGCGAAAGCGUGGGGAGCAAACAGGAUUAGAUACCCCGGUAGU